GGUAAACGGCGGCCGUAACUAUAACGGUCCUAAGGUAGCGAAAUUCCUUGUCGGGUAAGUUCCGACCUGCACGAAUGGCGUAAUGAUGGCCAGGCUGUCUCCACCCGAGACUCAGUGAAAUUGAACUCGCUGUGAAGAUGCAGUGUACCCGCGGCAAGACGGAAAGACCCCGUGAACCUUUACUAUAGCUUGACACUGAAUAUUGAGCCUUGAUGUGUAGGAUAGGUGGGAGGCUUUGAAGUGUGGACGCCAGUCUGCAUGGAGCCGGCCUUGAAAUACCACCCUUUAAUGUUUGAUGUUCUAACGUGGACCCGUGAUCCGGGUUGCGGACAGUGUCUGGUGGGUAGUUUGACUGGGGCGGUCUCCUCCUAAAGAGUAACGGAGGAGCACGAAGGUUGGCUAAUCCUGGUCGGACAUCAGGAGGUUAGUGCAAUGGCAUAAGCCAGCUUGACUGCGAGCGUGACGGCGCGAGCAGGUGCGAAAGCAGGUCAUAGUGAUCCGGUGGUUCUGAAUGGAAGGGCCAUCGCUCAACGGAUAAAAGGUACUCCGGGGAUAACAGGCUGAUACCGCCCAAGAGUUCAUAUCGACGGCGGUGUUUGGCACCUCGAUGUCGGCUCAUCACAUCCUGGGGCUGAAGUAGGUCCCAAGGGUAUGGCUGUUCGCCAUUUAAAGUGGUACGCGAGCUGGGUUUAGAACGUCGUGAGACAGUUCGGUCCCUAUCUGCCGUGGGCGCUGGAGAACUGAGGGGGGCUGCUCCUAGUACGAGAGGACCGGAGUGGACGCAUCACUGGUGUUCGGGUUGUCAUGCCAAUGGCACUGCCCGGUAGCUAAAUGCGGAAGAGAUAAGUGCUGAAAGCAUCUAAGCACGAAACUUGCCCCGA
rnacentral:rRNA from 1 species